UUGCUCUGGCAGCAGAUACACUAAAAUUGGAAUGAUACAGAGAAAAUUAGCAUGGCCUCUGCACAAGGAUAACACACAAAUUCAUGAAGCGUUCCGUAUUUUU
ensembl:snRNA U6 U6 spliceosomal RNA